GCUCUCCGUGGAGAAAGCCUUGGAGGUUCUCCAAAGUGUCGUGGAAGCCGCUGAGGGAGGAGAUGCAGCAGCACAACAAGAUCCCACGGUGGCCGUG
rnacentral:SRP_RNA from 1 species